CCUACGGGUGGCAGCAGUGGGGAAUAUUGGGCAAUGGGCGCAAGCCUGACCCAGCAACGCCGCGUGAAGGAAGAAGGCUUUAGGGGUGGAAAAUUCCUUUGGCAGGGAAGAGUAGAAGACGGUACCUGACGAAUAAGCCACGGCUAACUACGAACCAGCAGCCGCGGUAAUACGUAGGUGGCAAGCGUUGUCCGGAUUUACGGGGUGUAAAGGGCGUGUAGGCGGGUUGACAAGUCAGAUGUGAAAUCCUGCGGCUUAACCGCAGAACUGCAUUUGAAACUGUUGAUCUUGAGUACUGGAGAGGCAGGUGGAAUUCCUAGUGUAGCGGUGAAAUGCGUAGAUAUUAGGAGGAACACCAGUGGCGAAGGCGGUCUGCUGGACAGCAACUGACGGUGAGGCGCGAAAGCGUGGGGAGCAAACAGGAUUAGAUACCCGGGUAGUC
rnacentral:rRNA from 1 species